rnacentral:rRNA from 1 species
GAUUUCUGGCUUGAAACAUUUUGCCGGCCACGGUUUCGUGUGUUAGUGCUUGAUGUUCUGGCCAUCCUUCCAAUUGCUAUUCACUUUUCUUCACUGAUUGGUGAGUGGUAUUGGAUCUUUUACUUUGAAAAAAUUAGAGUGUUUCAAGCAGGCUUUAUGCUAUGAAUACAUUAGCAUGGAAUAAUAAUUUAGGACUUCGGUUCUAUUUUGUUGGUUUCUAGGACUGAAGUAAUGAUUGAUAGGGAUAGUUGGGGGUGCUAGUAUUCAGCGGCCAGAGGUGAAAUUCUUGGAUUCGCUGAAGGCUAACUUAUGCGAAAGCAUU